AUAUAAAAAGCGAAAAUUUGCAUUCGGUUUCGGCCCGUAACUUGAGGGUGUAAAUCCCUCUUUAUAUU
rnacentral:tRNA from 1 species